UUUACCUGUGUGUUACUCCAUAAUUACAGAUUGCCAUGACACUUUCUCCACUGGGCCUUUACCUUAGUGCAUAGGACGGAAAAAAAAUCGUUGAACACAGCCAAUAUCAUAUUUUCUUUUAAGUGAGAGAGAGAUACAGAACUAGCUAUUUUUCCAUAGCUGCUAUAAAAUUCAUCAUGGUACAUUCAGAGAGCACUUACAUUAUCUGCAUUGCAAGACAAAAAAAAGAAAGCAUUAAUGUCUCCACUCUACAGAUUAAAGAAAGCGUGCUUGAGGCCACACGGGGAAUCAGCGGUAAAGAGAUUACCACUCAUGAUUAUUACUGAAUUAUAAUUUAUGGCUCCCAGGUGACCCGAAUAGUUAGCCACAAUUUAAAAUUAGGUAGUUUCCAUUGAGGGAAGAGUGCAAUAAUGGUAUCAAAUAUCUUUCUAGCAAGUAGCUUUUUGAUACCGUCCUGUUUAUUGGUAAGAAGAUAUACGAAGUCCUGAUUCUCCGAACAGAGGAAAACAACUCGCAUCUCUUCCCAAACGUUGCAUUUCACCCAGGAACAUUCCCCAGCUUGGCCUCCAGACCAGGCUGGCAGAAAACCCCAGUGCAUCUUUUGGCUCCUCGCUGGUACCCCGCUUUCAUCUCCCGCUCACGCACACAUCCCAUUUCUAUUGCAGAUAUGCCAAGUAGCCACUCUUCUCAUUGAUUUCUUUUACAGUUCUCGGCGUUCAGCAUCGGCACAUCAAAUGAAGCAUUCGGAAAAUGAGAAGCAAUUAGGAAAGGCUGAUAAGUAAUACUCCGAUACUCCGGCUUAAUACUGCAUGUAAUGAAGACUUAUCAUGGUGUCUAAAAUGCUGGUUUGGGGAGGGGGCAGGGCGCUAGGCAAGAUAUCUAAAAAAAAUAAAAGUCAGAUGACUACCCAGUACACCCACGUGUACCAUAAUUAGCUGAUCUAUUUCAGUGGUCUGAACCAGCCCAGUUUAGAAUACUUCAUUUUGAAUGAUUGAAUAUGUUUAAUAAUCACCAUCUAAUCUGAUCUAUGAGUUUGAGUCGAGCUUAAAGAAUUUGGUAAAAAGAUCUCUAAUCGUAUAAUGACAAAUCCUUUUUUUUCAAUUGCUUUUUUUUUUCCCCCCCUGUGCUUGCUGCACAACAAACAGUUCUUCCUCUGCUUCUUCACUUCCUAACCAAUUCAGUGGGAUGUGGACAUGUGCUUAAGUGCUUUGCUAAAUCAUGGCAUAGCACUAUCAAACCUGACACACGGCCAUAAACCACAGUGUCCUCUUUCCAAACUUGCUUUAAAUGAAACAGGCUGAGAAUGUCUUCAGAUACAUUAAAAAAGGCAAACUGAAAAAAGAGGAUACAGAAUACUCGAUUCAAAAUGGUUCAUCCUAAAUACUGGAAGCGGUUUUUACAGACAAAGCUAAUGCAGGCCCUUCAUUUUUCAGUUUGGACUGCUGAUAGUCCCUUGUUUUUUAAAUGCGGUAUAUACUUUAGUAUGAAGAAGGAACUUAAUGUGAAAAGCAAUCUGUGCUUCUAUUUUUAGACAAUUAUUUACAUGCGAUGAAAUUUUGUUCCUCUACUCCUGAGACUUAGAGGAUGGUUUCGUUGCCAAGAAAAGACUUUGUCAACACACAGUAAUUUUCAAAGGUGCUCUCAGUUGCUCCAGCUCCGCGGCAGCUCUGCCAGUGAUGCCAACACUCAGAUCUGCCACGGCUCUGUCUUCGUUUCAAAAGGACGUGCCCAUCCAGUAGUGAACUGAGCAGCACACGAAGAAAGAGUAAAAAGCAACUGCAACAGGCCAUCGAUGACCCACAGUGAGCUGUGAAGCGCGCGGUGCCCUACCAAAGCCAAGAAAUACCUAGAGAGUCAGAUGGUUCAGAGGCUUAAAACUUGCCAAGAACUAUUGAAACGCGAGGACAGAAAACCGCCGAAAGCUACAUCUAUUUCCAAAAUAUCUUCCAAGAUGUGAGGCAGGCUGUUAAUUAAGCCGUACAGACUUAUAGCAUCACCAAACUCAGGUUUUAUCUGUGACAAACUCUUUCGUUCCAAUUAAAAGUUAUUUUAUGUAAGACUGCAAGGUCCCAGUGCUUAAGAAGUUACUUUCUACAGAUACUAAAUAAUUCCUAAUAAG